GGGCACAUGGUGUAGUUGGUUAUCACGCCCGCUUAGCAUUUAGCGGUUGCGGGCGGUGUCUGGUUCAAUUCCGGGUGUGUCCA